UACGUAGGGUGCAAGCGUUGUCCGGAAUUAUUGGGCGUAAAGAGCUCGUAGGCGGUCUGUUGCGUCGGCUGUGAAAUCCCGGGGCUCAACUCCGGGCCUGCAGCCGAUACGGGCAGGCUAGAGUUCGGCAGGGGAGACUGGAAUUCCUGGUGUAGCGGUGAAAUGCGCAGAUAUCAGGAGGAACACCGGUGGCGAAGGCGGGUCUCUGGGCCGAUACUGACGCUGAGGAGCGAAAGCGUGGGGAGCGAACAGG
rnacentral:rRNA from 1 species